rnacentral:rRNA from 1 species
UAGGUAAUCUUCGGCAAUGGACGAAAGUCUGACCGAGCAACGCCGCGUGAGUGAAGAAGGUUUUCGGAUCGUAAAACUCUGUUGUUAGAGAAGAACAAGGACGUUAGUAACUGAACGUCCCCUGACGGUAUCUAACCAGAAAGCCACGGCUAACUACGUGCCAGCAGCCGCGGUAAUACGUAGGUGGCAAGCGUUGUCCGGAUUUAUUGGGCGUAAAGCGAGCGCAGGCGGUUUCUUAAGUCUGAUGUGAAAGCCCCCGGCUCAACCGGGGAGGGUCAUUGGAAACUGGGAGACUUGAGUGCAGAAGAGGAGAGUGGAAUUCCAUGUGUAGCGGUGAAAUGCGUAGAUAUAUGGAGGAACACCAGUGGCGAAGGCGGCUCUCUGGUCUGUAACUGACGCUGAGGCUCGAAAGCGUGGGGAGCAAACAGG